rnacentral:rRNA from 1 species
AGACAAUAGAUACCCUGGUAGUCCUGGCCCUAAACGAUGUCCACUAGAUUACGGCGCCUUUGACGGCGUCGUGGUCGAAAGCAAAAAAAGUGUUAAGUGGACCGCCUGGGGAGUACGGUCGCAAGGCUAAAACUCAAAGGAAUUGACGGGGGCUCACACAAGCGGUGGAGCAUGUGGUUCAACUCGAAGCAACGCGCAGAACCUUACCUGGGCUUGACAUGCUCGGAUUACCCUCGUGAAAGCGAGGUAGGCCCCGCAAGGGGUACAACGAGUACAGGUGCUGCAUGGCUGUCGUCAGCUCGUGUCGUGAGAUGUCGGGUUAAGUCCCUUAACGAGCGAAACCUUUACCCUUAGUUACCAGCGGGUUAUGCCGGGGACUCUAAGGGGACCGCCGGUGUCAAACCGGAGGAAGGUGGAGAUGACGUCAAGUCCUCAUGGCCUUUA